rnacentral:rRNA from 1 species
GUUGGUAAGGUAACGGCUUACCAAGGCGACGAUGCGUAGCCGACCUGAGAGGGUGAUCGGCCACACUGGAACUGAGACACGGUCCAGACUCCUACGGGAGGCAGCAGUAGGGAAUCUUCCGCAAUGGGCGAAAGCCUGACGGAGCAACGCCGCGUGAGUGAUGAAGGUCUUCGGAUCGUAAAACUCUGUUAUUAGGGAAGAACAAAUGUGUAAGUAACUAUGCACGUCUUGACGGUACCU